rnacentral:rRNA from 1 species
UGGGGAAUUUUGGACAAUGGGCGCAAGCCUGAUCCAGCCAUGCCGCGUGCGGGAAGAAGGCCUUCGGGUUGUAAACCGCUUUUGUCAGGGAAGAAACGCUCUGGGCUAAUACCCUGGGGUAAUGACGGUACCUGAAGAAUAAGCACCGGCUAACUACGUGCCAGCAGCCGCGGUAAUACGUAGGGUGCAAGCGUUAAUCGGAAUUACUGGGCGUAAAGCGUGCGCAGGCGGUUAUGCAAGACAGAUGUGAAAUCCCCGGGCUCAACCUGGGAACUGCAUUUGUGACUGUAUAGCUAGAGUACGGUAGAGGGGGAUGGAAUUCCACGUGUAGCAGUGAAAUGCGUAGAGAUGUGGAGGAACACCGAUGGCGAAGGCAGCCCCCUGGGCCAACACUGACGCUCAGGCACGAAAGCGUGGGGAGCAAACAGGAUUAGAUACCCUAGUAGUCCCUGAGCGGGCUGGCAAGGCGCAU